AUGGUGAUGAUGGGGCAGCUGGGGAGGCUGGUGGACGGGCUGAGGUCCAAGAUGAGGGCCGGCGGCGGGAAGAAGGGGGCGGGGAAGAAGGCGGCGGCGGCGGCGGCGUACGAGCAGAUGGGGAAGACGGAGAGCAUGAGGGUGGAGAUCAAGAGCCGGCAGGCGCAGAAGCUCAUCGCCAAGAACCUCGUCGCCGCCGACUCCAUAGGCCGCAGGAGCAGGAACAAGCGCUUCUUCCUCGCCUUCUAG
rnacentral:rRNA from 1 species